rnacentral:rRNA from 1 species
UACAGAGGGUGCAAGCGUUAAUCGGAAUUACUGGGCGUAAAGCGCGCGUAGGCGGUUUUUUAAGUCGGAUGUGAAAGCCCCGGGCUCAACCUGGGAACUGCAUCCGAUACUGGAAGACUAGAAUGCGGGAGAGGGAGGUAGAAUUCCAUGUGUAGCAGUGAAAUGCGUAGAUAUAUGGAGGAAUACCAGUGGCGAAGGCGGCCUCCUGGCUCGACAUUGACGCUGAGGUGCGAAAGCGUGGGGAGCAAACGGG